GAUGAACGCUGGCGGCGUGCCUAAUACAUGCAAGUCGAGCGAACAGACGAGGAGCUUGCUCCUCUGACGUUAGCGGCGGACGGGUGAGUAACACGUGGAUAACCUACCUAUAAGACUGGGAUAACUUCGGGAAACCGGAGCUAAUACCGGAUAAUAUAUUGAACCGCAUGGUUCAAUAGUGAAAGACGGUUUUGCUGUCACUUAUAGAUGGAUCCGCGCCGCAUUAGCUAGUUGGUAGGGUAACGGCUUACCAAGGCAACGAUGCGUAGCCGACCUGAGAGGGUGAUCGGCCACACUGGAACUGAGACACGGUCCAGACUCCUACGGGAGGCAGCAGUAGGGAAGCUUCCGCAAUGGGCGAAAGCCUGACGGAGCAACGCCGCGUGAGUGAUGAAGGUCUUCGGAUCGUAAAACUCUGUUAUUAGGGAAGAACAAAUGUGUAAGUAACUAUGCACGUCUUGACGGUACCGAAACAGAAAGCCACGGCUAACUACGG
rnacentral:rRNA from 1 species